CCCAUGAUUCAAUUUUCUAGGCAGUCACCCCCACCACUCUCCUUAUUCUUCAUCUCUAUUAUUUCUCUCUUCUCUCUCGGAACAAGAAAGAGAAAUUAUUUUGUUCUGUGAACCUUCUUCAUCUCUCUAUUACUCCUUAUUUACCAAAACUAAUCGACCUGCCUUAUCUCUUUAUUCUGCUGCUACAAUCUAAAUCUGUUUGAAACAAAAAAACUUCUUCCCAGGAAACCCAAAACCCCUUUUCUUCAUAAUCAGAAAACCCGUUAUCUCCGUCAAAAAAAAAAAACGUUCUUUUUUAUCAUCACAAUCAGAAAACCCUAACUCUCCAUCGAAGAUCAAAAGAGUAAUAGAAAUCAGUGGAGAUGUUUCGGUUGGAUGUUAUUCUUCAAUUAAGAAUUGUUGAUUUGGGUUUGAUGUUGAAGUUGUUUCUUACAAGGGCAUCAGCUCCGGCUCAUAGAAGAGUUAAGGAAAGUCAUCUUAGUUCUGAUGCCAUCUUCAGACAGAGUCAUGCUGGUUUGUUCAAUCUCUGUAUUGGUGUACUGGUCGCAGUCAAAAUAAGUCUUAUUACUGAAAAUUUAAUGAAGGUUUGUAUAUUUUUCCUUAGUAUGCUACGCAGUUGAAUUGGAGCCCGCUAUUACAGAAGGCUUACUAAUAUAUUCCUCAGUUUUAAAUCCAACCCUCUUGUGGUAUACGACUGUUUAGUUGUUUGAGUUUUUGUUAUGCUUAUUAUUGCAAUAUGGCUUACUAAUUGGAUCUGGAUUUUGGUUCAGCUUUACAUCACUAAGAGACUGACCACUUUUCAUGUGUUGGAUUGAUUCAACUGCUGUAUCUGGUGUAACACUAAUGAUUUUUGCUAGUGUUGUGUGGUUUAAGUUGGUGUCAUAUGCACAUACAAAUUACGAUAUGAGGGCGCUUUCCAAGUCCAGCGACUAGGUGGCCCCUUACAGUAUUUUCUAUUCGCUGAUGGAAGAGCACCUGAGCCAAGUUGGUGUCAUACAACUAACAACAAAUGGAACGAAACGCUUGUUUUGGGUGUGGUGGAUCCAAACGAUUCAUUAUCUCAUCCGGCAGGGGUCUUUGAUGUUCAAGUUAAUUCUGCUACGUGCUUAGCUUCUGAUCAUUUUGCCAACUUCUUGGUGAAAACUUGGGAAAAGCAUCUGAAUGCCUUUUGCACUGAAAGAUGGAACUUGAAUUAAUCUACAAAGUCUAAUCCAAUGUUAUGAGGACACCUAGCUGAUGAAGUUAUUCCCUCAAAUUGUUCGAAACAUCUGUGACCAGGACGUGCUUGCAGAAGAUAAGAUUCUUCAAUGAUUCCGCUAAGGAUUAAACCUCAAGGGAAGUGUUGCAGAGGGAAAAGACCUUGUGUUGUCGGUUACAUCUGUCAUGGGAAAGGAGCAGAUCUGUACUGUUAAGGACAUUUCUAUCCAAAUAGAAAAUGACCUUUAGACUUUAUUACUACAGUAUCUGUUUGUUACUUCAUAUGGGAGAAGAGGUGAACUAUAACUUGUAGUCCCCAAGCAAUAGAUGUGCUGAGGAAAACUAAUGUUCUUAUUACUCCAACAAAAGCUACUAGCACUGGAGGGGUAUGAAUAACUAUCCCAUGAGAUAUUGUCAUCUUCAGUUGGUGAAGAAUUUGUUACUAAGUUUGAGAAUUUACUAUGAUUAUUUGGUACUUGUCUACUGGGUUCAUAGAUCCAGCAUUCCUCGCUUACAUUUUCUUGUUAGAUACCCUUGGCCGGCAUCUCAUACUUUGAUCUAACAUCAUAAGGUGUUGUAUCUUUAUAAUACCUAUCUAUUUAUAAGUAGAGCUUGAUGAUAUUGAUGCAUCGCCUUUCUUGUGUUUCUGUUAUUUUUUUGUCGGUCUGUGAAGGAGAAAGUUUUCAAUUAGGUUCAAAGGUUUUGUAGCUGAUGGCGGUAGAUUACUACCUUCGGGACAAGCAGGGAGAUAAGUCUUGUUGGAAUCCUGCGCCGUGCUCAGGGCUGUGUUGUACUUGACAAAGAUGGGUUCACAACAAAGAAACAAACACAUUUCUUUGAUAUUGUGAGGUGGCUCCAACGAAGAAAGUUGAUUCAGCAGCUCAUUGUAAACUAGGGUAUUCAGACUUGCACUUGUCUUUAAGAAACAUGUGAACCUAUCAGCUAAGACUUGUAUUGGUGCAAAUUCAGGAUUUUUUUUUUGUUUUUUUUUUCUGAUUUUGAAGCUAAGUGCAGGUUUCAUUUCAUUGAAAUUUUGCAAUUUGAACAUGUAUGAAUUGUACAAUGAAUACUGGUUCCUAAAUAAUUGUCAUUUAAAUUUAUGAAUCCAGGUUUCAUUUCAUUGUAA